rnacentral:lncRNA from 1 species
CAUAACUCAUCUGCUAGUUUCUGGAAUGUCUUGUUGUACUACAGGGACCAAACAAUUCCUUUUAGAAUGCAAGUUUUCCUAUCAGUAUUGUUUGAUUUUAUUGAACAAAUUAUUUAGUUAGUGAAAAUAUAAAAAUACAUUUGUUAGUCUAACAAUUUUACAAAAAAUUAGCACAAUAGAAAAAAAUAAACCAAAUAAGAGUAAUAUUUUACAAACAUGUAGUGCUGAUAUUUAACUCCAAUCUUAGUGAAAUAUGCAAGAUAGGAGGUGAUGGACUGCACACAAUUUAUGAGCUCUCAUUUACACUCAACCACAAAGUGAGCAUAAUACAAAUUGAGUAAAACUCAAUGCAACAUACAAAAUUUAUAAACUGAUUUAGUGCCAUGAUUUAACUCCAUCUCGUUGAAUUAUUCAAGAGAAGAAGCUGAUAAACAGCACUAACUUUCUGAGUUUUUCAGACCCUAACCCCACUAAUAUAUUCUAGAGCAAGAGUAUAGUUAAAACUCAAAGUAAACACAUACUUAAGAAAAAAAAUUAAGAACAAAACUAUGAAAAGCCUCAGUAAAAUCCGGUGUGAUCAUGAUUGAUGCAGUGAAAAUAAGGAGGUUCCCCCUGCAAAAGCAGGGACCUUAGAUCCACUACACCUCACCGUUGGAUUGGAUCAUCAUCGGCUGCUAAUAUAUAUAAAAAUUUGGGAAUAAAAUUUUCUAAAUCUCAGAGAAAUUUAAUAAUUUCAUGAUGAAUGCUAAUUGCAAUCUCAAAUACUAUCCAGCAAUUUCAGAUAUCGUCAUAGAUUUAAAUAUAAACAACUAAAAAGGAUUAACUAGAAUGAGAUUAAGAGGCUCAGUAAUAUAAACAGCUCUAUCAAUCACAGAAUAUCAGAAGCAGAACUGGCAUUAAAGCUGUAUUAGAAAUCAUCACUGCCAAACUAAUUAGUGAAAAAAAAGAAGAUAAAUCUGGCUCAUAUCAAGAAAUUCAACCAAUUUAUGUUAUGCUUCAUCGAUUUCUCUCAGAAGCGCGGAUAAAUCCGUUUUAAUCAUCGCCAAAUUCUAGAAAAAUACAGAAUUUUCUUACAAAAAUGGGGAUUUUGCCGUUGAUUUGACACAAAUUAGCCAUGAAUAGAAGGUACAAAGGGCUAAACUGCAACACUAGCGGCGAUUAAAUUUAGCACGAGCUUUGGGGCUUCUAACUUCACUAUAUAAACUCAGAUGAGCCCGGGAGGCUACGUGCAAAUACAACAUUCAGAUUACUAUACAAAGAAAAGAAUAGAAACGGUGAACACCAUUGAAGUAAAGAAAAAGCUAGGUUAAGAUUAAUUGAUGAUAAAGG